rnacentral:rRNA from 1 species
AGUGAACGCUGGCGGUAGGCCUAACACAUGCAAGUCGAACGGCAGCACAGUAAGAGCUUGCUCUUACGGGUGGCGAGUGGCGGACGGGUGAGGAAUACAUCGGAAUCUACUUUUUCGUGGGGGAUAACGUAGGGAAACUUACGCUAAUACCGCAUACGACCUACGGGUGAAAGCAGGGGAUCUUCGGACCUUGCGCGAUUGAAUGAGCCGAUGUCGGAUUAGCUAGUUGGCGGGGUAAAGGCCCACCAAGGCGACGAUCCGUAGCUGGUCUGAGAGGAUGGUCGGCCACACUGGAACUGAGACACGGUCCAGACGCCUACGGGAGGCAGCAGUGGGGAAUAUUGGACAAUGGGCGCAAGCCUGAUCCAGCCAGACCGCGUGGGUGAAGAAGGCCUUCGGGUUGUAAAGCCCUUUUGUUGGGAAAGAAAAGCAGCAGGUUAAUACCCCGCUGUUCUGACGGUACCCAAAGAAUAAGCACCGGCUAACUUCGUG